UACAGGGGGGGCAAGCGUUGUUCGGAAUUACUGGGCGUAAAGGGCGCGUAGGCGGCCAACUAAGUCACACGUGAAAUCCCCAGGCUUAACCUGGGAACUGCGUGUGAUACUGGAUGGCUUGAAUUCGGGAGAGGGAUGCGGAAUUCCAGGUGUAGCGGUGAAAUGCGUAGAUAUCUGGAGGAACACCGGUGGCGAAGGCGGCAUCCUGGACCGACAUUGACGCUGAGGCACGAAAGCUAGGGGAGCAAACAGG
rnacentral:rRNA from 1 species